rnacentral:lncRNA from 13 species
CCUGCUCAGCAUCAGGACAGACCCCAGAAUGUCCUGGGCUUCUGACCACAAAGGAGCCAACACAGGCUGCAUGCUGGCCCGAAGCUCAGAACCCUCAACCCUAAUGCGCUUGCCUCGUGCUUCCCCAGCCACUGGAGCCGCUGACAGCUGCACACCUCCGUGGGUCCCCAACCUGUAUUCAAGCACCACUGAGCACUCCAACCAGUGGACGAGGGGACCAGGGCUCGCACAGGAAACAGGGUCACCCUCUGAGUCUGGGGGAGAGGAGGGGAGUCUCAAAAUCCCACGUGGGAGGGGCCCAGGGCCAGGUGUCCAGAGAAAGGAGGGGCUGACAGAGGGGUCUCACCCAGGCUCCUGAGGGCAGGAGGAUGGCCUCACUCUGCCAGCCGUCCUGAUCUGCUAAGUGGAAAUUACAGUCAUUAGCGGCCCCUCCCAGAGGCCCGUGCUGCCCAAUAGGCUUGGGACUUGCCCCAUCCCCUCUGCCACAAGUGGCCCAGGGAGAAGGCGCUAAAGGUGGGCGCGGGCUGCAGGGUGAGGUAAAGCCACAUAGUCACCUGGCCUGCGGGGAGCCCUGGAGGGUAGGAUCCCUGGGACCCAGCCCUGCGCUCCUGCCCACUUGACAUGGCGGGCACCCUCCUUCCUGGUGGGUCCUUACUCCCAGCCCCCGCCUCGCCAUGAAAUUGCCAGGGUUUGGGGGGGUCCCUUUCCAACGGGGCGCCUUCUUAUGCAGACCUAGGAGAGGGGAGUGGCCAGGCUGGGUCCUCAAGGUGCCCAGACUGGGGGGCGUGUAGAUGAGGAGGCACGUGCACACUGGGGCGGCCGCGCUCCCUGGAGGAGGGGGCCCGGGAGCUCCCUGGAUCCAAGAGUGGAUUCCUGAGCAAAGCCUCCGCGGGUGGAGAAAGCGAGUAUGGCGGGGGCCACGGGGGUCCGAGUCCUGGCACGCGGCUGCGCACCCCCCGCUCCCCUGCGCCGCGGGCGGGGCUGGGGCCGGAAACGCGCGGCGGCGGCGGAUUCCUGCGCGGUGGGACAAGCCCGCGCCUGCGCGCCGCCCGGACAGGGCACGUCGCCCGCUUGGGGGGGUGGCAGGCCUGGGAGGAGGGACCCUGACCCCCCCUCACCGCCUGCCGGGGCGGGCCGCGAGGCUGGACGGGGGCGGCGCGGGGCGGGGGGCGGCAGAAGGCGCCUUUGUGUGCCGCGUCCCCGAGCGUGUCGCGGCGGGCCCGGCACCGGCCGCGCUCCAGCGCCCGCCCCCGGCCCGGCGCAUACCUGGCGAGGCCGCGAGGGGGUUCUGCGGGCCGAGCCCCGCCUGGGCUGCGCCGCCGCAGGCGGGAGAGGCUGAGGACCCUUUCGGGAAGCCCCUCCGACGGCUGCCCAGCUGCGGUCCACACCAAGGGCGGCCUACAGAGGAUCUUGGGCCCUCAGACCUCCACCUGCUGCAGAGCUGCCGCCAGUCAAGCCCUUGUUUCCAGCUUUCCGUGCCCUAAAUAAACUUCUGUCAGGUUUGAGCCGUCAGCAUUCUAUGGUGGGUGUCGCUGCUGUGAGGCUGCCCUCGUGCACGCACGCUCCUCUCAGGGGAAGGCGAUCUGCCGUGACAUCCCCGUUAGAGAAGUUUCCCGCCUGCGUGCCCUCGCACUUCUCAUGCAGGUGGCUCCUCCAUCUGCUCCUGUGUGGUUUCUUCUUUUGGUUCCUUCAUUAUCUCUCUUUUGGUGCUGUUUCCCAGGGAAUUAACUGCUAGAAGUUUGGUCAGUCCUCAGCUCUCCUCUUCACCCUUUUCUGUAGAUUCAAACAGACACUGAACUGUUCACCUGGCAUUGGGGCAGAAGGAAGGGCAGGCUCGGCCCCUGGCCCUGAUCUACAGCAGCUGCGUGGCCUUAGGGCAGCUCCUUCCACAUUUUCUGGCCUCAUCUGCACAGAAAGGCACCUCCCUCACAGCAGGACCUGCCUUGGACGCUGUCCUUGAGGAAUGGGGGAGGAUGUACUUCUUCCUCCAGGACGGCCCUGGCUCACUCUGAGUGCUGCUUCACUGCUCAGGCUGGGUGUUGCAGCUGAAUUUCCACCUCUCGCUGGGCCUGGCAGUGCUUUCUGACAAGCAGUCUGACAUUCAGGGCACGCUUCUUGGCCAGAUCGACCCCACACCCUUGAGAAGCUCCAGCAUGAGUCUGACAAACCUCACUGAGGUUGAUACAUCCCUGCAAGGUGGGGGUCAGGCAACUCCGGGGGUGGCACAAGGGUAAAAGGGUGUGCUCCUGGGGUGCAUGGGCCACACACAGGGAGCCCCUGAUGGCCAUUCCAGAGCCACACUGUGCCUCGGGCUCCUCACCCAAUAUUUAGCUCCAGGAAGGCCUGCUCAGAGAUUGCCCCCCGCCCCAGCCGCCCCCCGGACAGAGGGUGGGACAAACUUCCAUGGGUUGGAAAGGACCUCCUGGAGGCUGCUGCUUGUAAGGUGGAAGGCUCUGUGCCUUCAAGGAGCCAGCCAGGUUCCUG